ensembl:lincRNA
CCACGCCCUAUCACCUGCCCCAGCCGUGCCAGGGCGGCCACCUGGCCCAGAGACUGGGUCUGGGGAUCUGCAGACCACCGCCCCACCCCAACCAGCUGCCAAAAAAAAGACUGUUUGGCCAGUGAGGUUGGUGACGGAACUCCAGUCUGCACUGGAAGGGAGGUCUCCGCUGGAAUGCCACCAGGCUGUGUCCUCGAGGCAGACCUGAUACCAAGCUGGAGUGGGGCCUGCUGGGAGCAGCAGGAUGGCCCAGCCCCCUCCCACACGGCUGAAUCAAGCCCCACGUGUGGGCUUAAAAGCGCACGCUGCACGUGUAGGAGCUGGCUUCGCUGGGCAGCACCCAUGAAAAGCUCUGAGGCCCUCGGUGGCCCCCACGAGCACCAUGGGCCUUGAGUCUCCAGGCCCAGGUUAAGACACUAAGAAGGCCCUCCUGCCGGUGGAGUCCAGUUUGAACAGACCAGAUGACCCCUGGAAGAGGGGAGCUGCUCGGCACAACAGGAGGCGGGGCUGCAGCAGAGUUGAACGCCACCAGGGAAAGGAAGCCCGAGGGUCGCCCUGGCCACACAGUCCCAGGACCUCCAACAGCACGGAUCAGAGUCGCCCAGCCCCGAGCUCUGCAGCGGCCCCCGCCAGCCUCCUGGGGGCACAGAGCCCUUCCCACAUGCCGCCGCCCCGGCCUCCCCAGGCCCUCGGACACCCAGGCUCUGUCCCUCCCAAGAGCGGUGCACUGGGCUGUGCGGGCACCUGCACCCAGCCACCCCCACCGUGACGUCUCAUGGGACUCCGGGGCAAGACUGCGAGGCCCUCUCUCCCCAACCCGAGCCCUGCGUCCUGGGGGUUUGUCACCCGAGGCUCAUACAGCGGGUCACCCCUGGGGGUCGGCAUUUCCUCUCAGCUCCAUUCCCUGGAGACCCGCCCAGGCAGCCGCUAAAACCAGGGGCUGCUCCUUGUGCCCGAGUCGCAGGGGGUGUGGGGCCCUCGUGCUCAGCCACUCGCCCCAGGCACGUCCAGGCACGUCCAGCUCUGAGGAUGCGGCUGCGUGGGGCUCCCUGUGCGGGCGUCCGGAAGAGCAGGUCUGCAUUCUCCGGGCUAAGUGCCCAAGCUGUCCUGGCUGCGGCCUGCAGGGCUCUCUGCUUGCUUCAGGUUUGUGGGGGGUUUCAUAUCAUUCUGUGGCUUGCCUUUGUUUAAAUUAACUGACUUAUUUCUGGUGGCAGCGCUGGGUCUCCACUGCCACGCGGAUGCUCUCCCGUCGUGGUGAGCCCGGGCUUCUCACCGCGGGGGCUCCUCUUGCCACAGAGCCCGGGCCUCAGGAGCUGUGGCGCACGGGCCUAGCUGCUCCGAGGCACGUGGGAUCUUCCCAGACCAGGGAUCGAGCCCAUGUCCCCUGCACCAGCAGGCGGACUCCCACCCGCUGACCACCAGGGGGGUCCUGGCUCUGUGUCCUUCUUUUCUCAUAGAAGCCAAGCCACACGGGUUUGCACCCCCGCCAGCCGCGUGUGAGCGGCCCCGUCCCCCGCCUCCUCGCCAGCACUGGGUGUGGUCGCGUUUCUCACCCCGGCUCCCGGGGUCGCCCCUCCUCCUCCGCUGUGUGCGUGUCCUCUCCGUGCCUGCUCGCUGCCGAGCUUCGUCGUCCCGGCGCAGGCCCUGAGGGGGACACCGUCCCCUCCACCUCGUCCGUGUCCUUCUCUGGGCAGCAAUCUCGACUGUCGGGACCUCCAGCUGGUCCAGCUCUCCUUUCAGGCUUGUGAGGGACAGGCUGUCUGGCCCACGAGCCCCAGGAUAUUUCCCUCUUUCUCCCGCAAGUUUGAGGGUUUGGUGUUCGUGUGUGAAUCGGUGAGCCAUUCGGAGUUCAUUUUUGUAGAAAAUAUGAUACUUCGAACAAAGGUUCUUAUUUUUUGGCCUGUAGAAGCCAGAGCCUGAAUUUCCCCUACCUCCCCUCCAAUGAUACCUACUUUAUCCACUUCUAUUCAUUAUUCAAAUAUCUGCUGCUGCCCACUGGGUGCCCAGCGCCAUGGGGUCCUGGGGCCCGCAGGUGAGGGUAUGAGACCCCCAGCUGCCCUCUGGAGCCCACCGUCAGGCCUCAACUGGCCGCAGCCUGACCCUCCCAGAUGCGGCCUCGGGACAAAGCGGGGGUGGCCACAUCAGGCUCCAGAGCGGCCAAGGGGAGUGAGCCACCCGGGGGCCGUCCCCCUGGACCUCAUCCUGCUGGCCCCUUCUGCCCCGCGCCCUGGCACCACCCUGGGGAGCACGGCAGGGCAGGGACAAUCGCCCGGCUUGUAGUCUCAGGCGGACACAAGCCCGCUUUCACAAGCCCACAGCCCCGGGUUUGUGCCGCCUGGCGCCAGAGGGAGCAGGCCCAGUGCCCAGCUGGGGAAGAUGCUGCGCCGGCCACACCCCCAGCGGGCGGCGGGCAGAGGCUUCCUGCAACCGCCAGCCUGGGUGCCCACGCCCAGGCGGACAGGCCACACCCCUCCGAGCCCCAGUCCAGGGAGACCCUGGGCCUCAGGAGCACACCCCAAGGCUGGGGGGGAACCUGCCCUUGUGGUGUCCGAGCUCCAGCCCAGCACCAGCAGGGGUGCGUAUGACCGUCCUGCGGCUGCUGUAACAAAAUGCCCCAAACUCAGCAGCUCAACCACUACUUAACCCUACAACCCAGAGGUCGGUCUGAAAAGCUCCCGCGAGCUGGCUCCUUCCGGAGGUGCUGGGCAGGGUCUGCGUCCUCCUCUCCCAACUCCUUGAGGCAACUCGCUCCGUGGUCUGACCUCGUCCUGAGCAUCUGGCUUCUUCCUCCCCGACUGCCUCCUCCCCCGUCCUCUCUCUGACCCGGGGCCCCCACCUCCCUCCUGGAGGGUCCUUUGUGAUGACGUCGGGCCCCCCAGGCACGGGCAGCUUAGAACCGGGGGACACAACAGAGAACCCCGCUUGUUUCAUAUACGUGAACAGCUUAAACUGGAGGACAUAACAGAGAACAUCAUUUGUUUCAUAUACAUGAACUGCUUAAACUGGGGGACACAGAGAACCCCGCUUGUUUUACACACGUGCGUGUUACUGUGUGCGGCGCUUUGCGGUGUGUGGUGGUUUUAUUACUCAGUAGACAUCCUUCAAAGGAAACUGAAGGGUGUGCGCGUUGACCUCACUCCUGCUGCAGAGAAGCCCGUGGCCUCUGCCCUCCCUGCGUCCUGGAUGGCGCAGCCUCAGCCCUCAGGAGGAGCAGGGGUCUUAGGUGGCUGCUCUCUCUCCUUGGCAAGUACCUGGGGGCAGCGGGACCCCAGAGCAGGACAGCCCCUAAGCCCGGGGGUUUGGGAGAGCUUCCCGGAGCGUGUGGAGUAGGACCUGGGCCGGCCCUCAACAAACGGCCGUCUCCGUGCCGUGCACAGCGGACGCCUGCCCACUGGACGGACAGGGCUCACGACAGCUCCCCCAGUGCUGGUUGAGCCAAAGCUCCCAUCCUGGCUCCAGAGGCCACUGCUCACAGCCCUCGAGACAAGGCCCAGGGCAGGUGCCCGCAGGCCGUACGCCUGUUGUCGACCCAGAAGCUGCUGCCUAGACCAGCAGCAGCAGCUCUCUGGGGGUCAAGACCCCGUCCUGGCUCAGAUUUCAUCCUGGAGCUGUGCCCAACUCUCCCAGGGAGCCUGUCUGGGAGGCCCUGGGCAGUGGGCCCUUCGCACCCUCACAGCAGGAGCCUGAAAGCUAGCCUGAGGGCUCUCUGGGAAUGGUGCAGCCGACAUGCACCCCGCGUGGUGGGGCCGUAGACUGUGGUCUUGAGCCGGCCGUCCUAGGUGAGGCGCAGGCCUGCUGCUCCCCGAAGUCUGGACAGGAGGAUCAGACGGCACGUGCUCCCCACCGUCAGCCCCUUCCCGAGCCGCUGCUCAGAAACUUGCCCCCAGGCUGUCAGAGCGUGGUCCCCCAGGGUGGGCCCGGGGCCUGCUUCCUGCUAUGUGGCUUCACACCCUGAAAGCUGCCAGCACCCCGCCCCCUGGGGGCCGCAGCCAGCUUGUCAGCUAUGACGGUGGCAGGCGGCUGAAAGCCCCAGGGACCAUCGCCAUCGGUGGGGUGAAUGGAGACAAAGCGUGGUCCACGCUCACACGGGACAUGAUUCAACCCUGAGAAGGAAGGAAAUGCUGGCCCGGCUCCAUCGCAUGUGAACCUUGAGAACACAGCCAUGAAAUGAGCCAGACACGGAAGGACAGACACUGUCUGACCCCAGUUCUGAGGUCCCGGAGGAGUCAGGGCCACGGAGACAGACAGGAGGGGGCCGGG